GCCCGCUCAGAAACUCAAAGGAAUUGACGGGACCCCGCACAAGCGGUGGAUCAUGUUGUUUAAUUCGAUGAUACGCGAAGAACCUUACCAGGUCUUGACAUCCCCCGCGAUGCUUUAGAGAUAAAGCGGAGGUAUUCGGGGAGACAGGUGGUGCAUGGUUGUCGUCAGCUCGUGUCGUGAGAUGUUGGGUUAAGUCCCGCAACGAGCGCAACCCCUAUUGCUAGUUACCAUCAUUAAGUUGGGGACUCUAGCGAGACUGCCAGUGAUAAACUGGAGGAAGGUGGGGAUGACGUCAAAUCAUCAUGCCCCUUAUGACCUGGGCUACAAACGUGAUACAAUGGCUGGAACAAAGGGAUGCGAAGCAGUGAUGUGGAGCGAAACCCAUAAAAACAGUCUCAGUUCGGAUUGAAGUCUGCAACUCGACUUCAUGAAGUCGGAAUCGCUAGUAAUCGCGGAUCAGAAUGUCGCGGUGAAUGCGUUCCCGGGUCUU
rnacentral:rRNA from 1 species